GGGGAAUUUUGCGCAAUGGGGGAAACCCUGACGCAGCAACGCCGCGUGAGUGAUGAAGGCUUUCGGGUCGUAAAGCUCUGUCAGAGGGGAAGAAAUGGGACGUGCUAAUAUCACGUUUUCUUGACGGUACCCUCAAAGGAAGCACCGGCUAACUCCGUGCCAGCAGCCGCGGUAAUACGGAGGGUGCAAGCGUUGUUCGGAUUUAUUGGGCGUAAAGCGCGUGUAGGCGGUUUCUUAAGUCUGAUGUGAAAGCCCUGGGCUCAACCCAGGAAGUGCAUUGGAUACUGGGAGACUUGAAUACGGGAGAGGGUAGUGGAAUUCCUAGUGUAGGAGUGAAAUCCGUAGAUAUUAGGAGGAACACCGGUGGCGAAGGCGGCUACCUGGACCGAUAUUGACGCUGAGACGCGAAAGCGUGGGGAGCAAACAG
rnacentral:rRNA from 1 species